CGGGCGGACGGGUGAGUAACGCGUGGAUAACCUGCCCCAUACCGGGGGAUAACAGUUAGAAAUGACUGCUAAUACCGCAUAAGCGCACGGAGCCGCAUGGCGCAGUGUGAAAAACUCCGGUGGUAUGGGAUGGAUCCGCGUCUGACUAGCUAGUUGGCGGGGUAACGGCCCACCAAGGCAGCGAUCAGUAGCCGACCUGAGAGGGUGGCCGGCCACAUUGGGACUGAGACACGGCCCAAACUCCUACGGGAGGCAGCAG
rnacentral:rRNA from 1 species